rnacentral:rRNA from 1 species
ACUCAAAGGAAUAGACGGGGGCCCGCACAAGCAGUGGAGCAUGUGGUUUAAUUCGACGAUACGCGAAGAACCUUACCAGGGUUUGACAUAGAUAUGGCGUAUACAGAGAUGUAUAUUCUCUUCGGAGCAUAUUUACAGGUGCUGCAUGGCUGUCGUCAGCUCGUGCCGUGAGGUGUUGGGUUAAGUCCCGCAACGAGCGCAACCCUUAUUCUCAGUUGCCAUCAGGUAAUGCUGGGCACUCUGUGGAGACUGCCGUCAUAAGGCGGAGGAAGGUGGGGAUGACGUCAAGUCAGCAUGGCCCUUACGUCCUGGGCUACACACGUGCUACAAUGGUCGGUACAAAGGGCAGCUAAGCCGCGAGGUGGAGCGAAUCCCAUAAAGCCGAUCUCAGUUCGGAUUGGAGGCUGCAACUCGCCUCCAUGAAGUCGGAAUUGCUAGUAACCGCAGAUCAGCUACGCUGCGGUGAAUACGUUCCCGGGCCUUGUACACACCGCCCGU